AAGUGCCUCGCAUCUUUUCUGCAUACAGAGCGAUAUUCUUAUAGCUCAAGCGUUCCUAUAGAAGUUCAUUCACUGCAUUCUAAGUUUCUAACGACCAUCAAUUAUUUUACGGAAAUUUUCACAAAGGUGAUGACGAUGCUGAUGCUUUCGGCGAUGGUGCUGGUUGGUACAGGGUUUGCCGAGGACGACUUUCGCAUAUUUGUUGUUUCUCCUCUUGAGGGUCCCAUCAGCAAUCAACAAAUAUUUCUACCUUUCACUGGUCUAGCCCGAGGAGGGAGACAGCAGGUUUUCCCGGGAGGAGGGGAGACUUUGCCUUUGCGAUCGACUUCGCCUUUACCGUUACCAGGUGGAGGUCUUGGCGUUGGAGGCGCGGUACCUUUGCGAUCGACUUCACCAUUGCCUUUACCAGGCGGAGGACUCGGUGUCGGCGGUGCAGUGCCAUUUCGAUCAACUUCGCCUUUAAAUUUACCAAGUAGAGGUCUCCCAUUUGGCGGUGCCCUUGGAUUGCCACUGUAGAGUGUUGGAGAUUUUGAAAUGAAUACACGUUUUAGUUACUUCGCAAUAUUAUUUAAUUGCGUCAUAAUUCCUUAUCACAAUACAUCUGGGUGCUUUCACGCCCCUGUAAAACUGCAAUUCAGAAUUCAGAAUCAAGUAAAGCUCCUAAAAUUACUCAAGUCUGGAAUGAAAAAAAAAAAAGAAAUAAAUGUACUAUACUAGCGAAAACUCGAAAGACUCAAGUCUGAUCGAAACGCGGAAGUAGAAUAAGUAAGCACAGAGCCGAGCUAUGCACCUGUUAGCGGAAGUAAGGAAACAAAAAGUGAGAAACUGGAUCCAAAAGGUCAAACUUUCAAAUCGGAUUCAAUGGCGCACGCUGCUUCUUGCUCUAUAGUUUAGCAACAUACUGAACAACAUGGAUAUGUAUGUGUUAAAUAUUAUGUAACAUCAACUUGCGCAGGAUUUAUAUUCAUCGAUUGCUGAAACUUGAUUUAAUUUGAGCACAACAUUUUAAAGGGCACACAGUUUCCCCUGACCGUAUUAUUAUUGGCAACUCAAUUGAAGGAGAAAAUAUGUUUCUACCCUUGAAAGGCCGAUGAAACCAAUCCGUGUUUUUGUCAUUCCUGAUGUUGGGUUAUCACCAGUGCCAACUGCCGCUUUGGUCGGCGUUCGGAUCUGUAAGAUUAACGGCCUUCAUCGAGACUAAUGAGGAGGUAAGAAAAAAUCCUGAUUUUUUGGAGUAGAAGGGGAUUUUGCUUGACAUUCAAUGCUGUGGAAGUAAAGGUUAACAGGAAGCUUGAUUGGCUUCAAGACAGAUCUGCUGCAAAGCUGCUGGCUUAUUUAAAGCAGUGCUUGAUGACAGUCAGGCAGUAGCUCAACAGCUUUCACAGUUCCCCAAAACACUCGAGAGGAUAUACUUUAUCUAAAACUCUUUUCUACCAUGAAUACUAAGGUUAUGAUGCUAAUUCUUUUGGGGAUGGCGUUGGUUGGGCCAGCUCUUUCCGAUGACGACGAUCGUCGUCGCUUGUUUCUUGUUGGUCGUCGUCCUCGUCCCCUUCAGCAAUUAUUAAGACCUCUAAUUGGAGGAGCUUUAGCAGGACGACCCCUGAUUGGAGGUUCGCCUUUGGGAGGUCUGGGUGGCGGAGCGAAUGCUGCCGGAGCCGGUAACGGUGCUGUUAUAGGGAAUCAAGCUAUCGGUACAGGUACCGGUAUCGCCAACGCUGGCCCAGGUGGUUUCGGCAUAGGGGUCGGCAUCGGAGUUGGUAUUGCCACCCCACUGGGAAAUUUUGCUUUCGGAGAUGGAAACAGCAUUUCCAUCGGGAAAUAAAUGAAAGAUUACAAGUAACCUGACAUCCUGAUGUCGAUGUAAGGUGCCCGGAUAGUGAUGGAUGUACCUGUCUUUGAACUGAGUAUUUAUAAAUCAAAAAUUCGUCGGAUGACACGGUAUAGCUCUUUAGAGUUUAGAUUGAAUACUUCAUUUCUGUUGUGUGUAAUAUAAGUGAUGUAAAAAUGUUGACUUAAUGUUACCUUUGCGCAUGUAUGCUGGAAAUAAAAAAAUGGCUUUUGACACUUUA
rnacentral:misc_RNA from 1 species